UGUGUAGGCGGUUCUUUAAGUUUGGUGUGAAAUCUCCCGGCUUAACCGGGAGGGUGCGCCGAAUACUGAGGGACUAGAGUGUGGGAGAGGAAAGUGGAAUUCCUGGUGUAGCGGUGAAAUGCGUAGAUAUCAGGAGGAACACCGGUGGUGUAGACGGCUUUCUGGACCAUAACUGACGCUGAGACACGAAAGCGUGGGUAGCAAACAG
rnacentral:rRNA from 1 species